GGUCCCAUUCCGAACCCGGAAGCUAAGCCCUCCUGCGCCGAUGGUACUGCACUCGUGAGGGUGUGGGAGAGUAGGACGCCGCCGGAC
rnacentral:rRNA from 1 species